rnacentral:rRNA from 1 species
UACGUAGGGUGCAAGCGUUAAUCGGAAUUACUGGGCGUAAAGCGUGCGCAGGCGGUUAUGUAAGACAGGUGUGAAAUCCCCGGGCUUAACCGGGAACUGCGUCUGAUACUGGAUGGCUUGAGUUCGGGAGAGGGAUGCGGAAUUCCAGGUGUAGCGGUGAAAUGCGUAGAUAUCUGGAGGAACACCGGUGGCGAAGGCGGCAUCCUGGACCGACACUGACGCUGAGGAGCGAAAGCCAGGG